UUAAGGAACAGAGGGAGUAUAAAGUAUCACGCAGAGGCGCUAUGUUGGAUAUGGGGCGGCGUGAGCUAUAAAAAUAAGGUUUUCCCAACUCCAGAUCCACCGCGUCAACGGUGCAAAUUAACAUGAUGGCAGGGAUCGUCUGGUCGCUCCUCUUAUGAAGUAGCUGAUUUAGUUAUAUCUUCGUGUUUUGCAGUUGGUCUUUGUGUCUUGGCACUUCUUUUCAGUUGGGCGAGGUUCGGCCAGCUUUGGCUUCGUCGUGGAGCUAGUGACGUUAGAUCUCCUUGGAUUUGUCUUGCAAGAUAUGGGGUGGUUAUCUUCCUUCGUCGCAUUCUUCUCCAUAACACCGAUGUCUUCUGACUCAACCAGCGACUUCUCGGUUGGUACGUCGACACCGUUUUUCUAGCUCUCACGUGGUUUUAGGGUCUAGAGACCGCAUUGCGCCACCGGAGAGUACAGCAGUAAGACAAUGUCGUUUAUCCCAAAAACUUGUGUGUAAUUUUCUUGGCAAAAGACACGUCACCGUAUGCAAAAAAGAAAUGCAAAAAAAGGUCUUCGUUAUUUCCUUCACUAUUGGUAGUGCUGUUUUUUCCUCAAAAAAUGAAGAAAGGAGUCCUCCUCUUACUCUCUAGCAGUCGAUAAACGAAAAUUGUGCAUAUAUUUGUUCGUCAGAUCAAGAGCAACAUAUUCCAAAUCCACGGCCGUUCUGCAGUUACUAGGAUCCAUCCAUAUCAGAAGUAUUUUUAGCUAGACGGCGCUAUGGCCCAUGGCUAAACCUACUUUCACCCACCAGUAUACCAGCACGCAACCACUCGGAUUUUCCCCCGGACAGCAGCCGGCCACGUCUAUCCGUACCUGCAACCUUAAAGCUAGCAUGGUGUUCCCGUGGCUCCAUCGAAACCGUCCGGAGUCCGUCGGCCCGGGCUGCCACAACUUGUGUGGGCUCGAGUGUUAUCCGUGUCAGUUGCAACUCCUGUUACUAUUCGCUGCCCCUCCGGCCUCCGUACGUGGCAUGUGUUGUUUCCUCAUAGGCUUGGGGCCUCCGGCUGCUACCUCGUGGCUGCCGGUGCCUCGUAGGCUCGCUCCGGCCGGCUGCUGAUGACUCGUAGGCUCCAGGUCUCCGGCUGCUACCCGCUGGGCCUGGCUGCUGGUGCUUUUCGGCGACCUCGGCCUCCGAACUAGCUAGUCUGACUCGUCUUCCGAUCACCCGUGGGCCGUGGACGUAGAGAGAUGGAGAUAGGGAAAACAUGGCACCAACAAGACAAACCUUCAAUGUGCCAAGGGACUCUGCAGCGAGCACAAUGAAUGACAUCAAAAACCCUGCUGGGAUAUGGAAGUCUCUUGGUGCCCAUUACAGCUGAUAUUGCUGGAAUUCCUCUCUCCAACGCAAACUGUACUUGAGCUUCAUGCUCAUCUUUUGGAGCAAAUGACAUUGUGAGCACAUCUCUAUCAAACAUGUAGCCUCCAAAGCUGGCAACCCCACAACCAACAUCUAGAAUGACACGGCUUCGUUUACCCCAUGCAAUAUCAGGUAAUGCCUGCACACGGAAGUUCGAUCAAAGCAUGUAAAUGUAUAGACUGUGAACAAGUAACGAUAUAAUGGUAGUAUCUCCUUAAAGACACAAUUCACCAUCAUGGUCCUUAAA